GACGAACGCUGGCGGCGUGCUUAACACAUGCAAGUCGAACGGAAAGGCCCUGCUUUUGUGGUGUGCUCGAGUUGCGAACGGGUGAGUAACACGUGAGUAACCUGCCCUUUACUUUGGGAUAACUUCUGGAAACUGUGGCUAAUACCGCAUAGGAGCUCCUGCUGCAUGGUGUUGGUUGGAAAGUUUCGGCGGUUUGGGAUGGACUCGCGGCUUAUCUGCUUGUUGGUGGUGUAGUGGCUUCCAAAGGCUUUGACGGGUAGCCGGCCUGAGAGUGUGACAGGCCACAGAGGGACAGGGGUACGGGCCGGACUGCAACGGGGGGCAGCGGCGGAGAUCAGAGCAAAAAGGGCCGAGGGAGGGUGGAGGAUCGCCGCGUGGGGGAUGACUGUCGUCGGGGUGGAAACCGUGUGCGCCUGGGACGAAGCGUGAGUGACGGUAAUGUGUAAAGAAGCACCGGCUAACUACGUG
rnacentral:rRNA from 1 species